rnacentral:rRNA from 1 species
UACACUCCUACGGGAGGCAGCAGUGGGGAAUAUUGCACAAUGGGCGCAAGCCUGAUGCAGCCAUGCCGCGUGUAUGAAGAAGGCCUUCGGGUUGUAAAGUACUUUCAGCGGGGAGGAAGGCGAUAAGGUUAAUAACCUUGUCGAUUGACGUUACCCGCAGAAGAAGCACCGGCUAACUCCGUGCUAGCAGCCGCGGUAAUACGGAGGGUGCAAGCGUUAAUCGGAAUUACUGGGCGUAAAGCGCACGCAGGCGGUCUGUCAAGUCGGAUGUGAAAUCCCCGGGCUCAACCUGGGAACUGCAUUCGAAACUGGCAGGCUAGAGUCUUGUAGAGGGGGGUAGAAUUCCAGGUGUAGCGGUGAAAUGCGUAGAGAUCUGGAGGAAUACCGGUGGCGAAGGCGGCCCCCUGGACAAAGACUGACGCUCAGGUGCGAAAGCGUGGGGAGCAAACAGGAUUAGAAACCCCGGUAGUCCCAUGAU